rnacentral:rRNA from 1 species
UACGAAGGGGGCGAGCGUUGUUCGGAAUUACUGGGCGUAAAGGGCGCGCAGGCGGCUCUUCAAGUCAGGCGUGAAAGCCCCGGCCUUAACCUGGGAAUUGCGCUUGGGACUGGAGGGCUUGAGUACGGGAGAGGAGAGUGGAAUUCCCAGUGUAGAGGUGAAAUUCGUAGAUAUUGGGAAGAACACCGGUGGCGAAGGCGGCUCUCUGGACCGUAACUGACGCUGAGGCGCGAAAGCGUGGGGAGCAAACAGG